rnacentral:rRNA from 1 species
AGUGAACGCUGGCGGCAUGCUUUACACAUGCAAGUCGAACGGCAGCGCGGUCUUCGGCCUGGCUGCGAGUUGCGAACUGGUGAGUAAUUCAGCAGAACGUGCCCAGUAGUUGGUAUAGGCCGGCGAAAGCCGGGUUAAUACCGCAAACGACCCAAAGGUGCAAGCGGUGGACCCAAAGGCCUCUCGCUAUUUGCGCGGCCGAUGUCGGAUUAGCUAGUUGGUGGGGUAAAGGCGUACCAAGGCGACGAUCCGUAGCUGGUCUGAGAGGACGACCAGCCACACUGGGACUGAGACACGGCCCAGACUCCUACGGGAGGCAGCAGUGGGGAAUUUUGGACAAAGGGGGCAACCCUGAUCCAGCCAUGCCGCGUGCGAGAAGAAGGCCUUCGGGUUGUAAACCGCUUUUGUUCGGGAAGAAAUCCUCUGGGCUAAUACCCCGGGGGGCUGACGGUACCGGAAGAAUAAGCACCGGCUAACUACGUG